rnacentral:rRNA from 1 species
GACGAACGCUGGCGGCGUGCUUAACACAUGCAAGUCGAACGGAAAGGCCCUGCUUUUGUGGGGUGCUCGAGUGGCGAACGGGUGAGUAACACGUGAGUAACCUGCCCUUGACUUUGGGAUAACUUCAGGAAACUGGGGCUAAUACCGGAUAGGAGCUCCUGCUGCCUGGUGGGGGUUGGAAAGUUUCGGCGGUUGGGGAUGGACUCGCGGCUUAUCAGCUUGUUGGUGGGGUAGUGGCUUACCAAGGCUUUGACGGGUAGCCGGCCUGAGAGGGUGACCGGCAACAUUGGGACUGAGAUACGGCCCAGACUCCUACGGGAGGCAGCAGUGGGGAAUAGUGCACAAUGGGCGGAAGCCUGAUGCAGCAACGCCGCGUGCGGGAUGACGGCCUUCGGGUUGUAAACCGCUUUCGCCUGUGACGAAGCGUGAGUGACGGUAAUGGGUAAAGAAGCACCGGCUAACUACGUG